CACCGAUCAAGCGACGCAAGAAGAAGUCAAAGGUGUGGGAACACUUCACCAUCGGUGUUACAGAGCCUGGUUGCAGAAGGGCUUUCUGCAAGGGCUGUAACCAGAGCUUUGCUUACAGCAGCGGCACCAAAGUGGCUGGGACCAGCCACCUCAAGCGUCACAUCGACAAAGGGACUUGCCCUGCGCUUCUUCAUCAUACCCAUGACAACAAUGACAACGACAACAGCCAACCGAUGAUGACGACUCCCAAGAGUGACCACACACCGAGAAGGCGUUACCGGACCCAGAACACUUACGUUCCGUUUGAUCAGGACAAGUGUCGCCACGAGAUUGCUAAGAUGAUCAUCAUGCAUGACUACCCUCUUCAAAAGUAAUGGUUGAAAAAUAUCUAUACAUAUGUCAUUUUAAAAUAACACCCAACUUCUAUAUAUAGUCAAUACAUAUGUCCAUGUUAUAUUCUAGACUAAAUAUUUUCUUACAGCGUCUAGAACUAUCGAGCGAUCGUCGACAUUAUUAUUUAAAGUUUUAAACGGUCUAAUCAAUUAUAAAUUAUAGUAAUAUAUUCAAUAUAUACAAUGUUUAUAUUAAAUAUUAUUAUCUAUUAAUGAUAAAAUUCUUAUUAUUUUAUCUUCAUAAGAAUCUAUGAUAUAAUAUAUUAAUUAUUAUUAUUUUUGAUCAAUAAAUUAUAAAUUAUAUAUUAUUAAAUAUUAAUUAUUUAGGUUGUUUAGAAGAUAAUUGCCACGGUUUUAGGAGGUUUAGAGCGUUAAGCGUCGCCAAAAGCCGCUUUAGAAUACUGCGCAAACAAGACACAUCGUUAAUAACCAAAUCUAGACCAAAAAGCGAAGUGCUAGACCUCAUAAGCGUUGUUAAGUUAUCAAUGGGCUGUAAUUGAAAAAGCCCAAUAACUAACCCAAAAGCUCUGUUAAAAGAACUUUUUCUCGACCUAUUAAUUGUUAUUGACCUAACAAAUUAUCUCUUUACCUUGUGCUUUCUUCCAGACCAAAGCCUCUCGGGUUUCUCAAGCCCAAACAGAUCUGGACAUAGCGUUUUCUUCCUCGAGCUCGAAGGUAAUGUUUCCGACCUUGAUUUUAAUUUCGACUUAAAAUUGUUUGUUCUUCGCGCAAUUAUUUCGAAACAGAUCUGCAACUAAUCCGAACCCGUCAACAAUAUAUUUACUCAUGGAGGUUUUUGAAUAUUGUUUUAAUUAUAAGUUGAUAAAGGCCGACUCGGAUCUGUAAUAAUCUGGGCUCUAGUUCAUGUCUAAUCGAUUUCAGAAGUCCCAGAUCUGUUCUUGCCGGAUCUACGCUAAGAGUUUGGAAACACCGAUUUUACCCUCCCCCAAUAAUAUUGAUUAAACGCUGCGUUUUGUGUCUUUUUGUUUUUGUUCAUUCUCUGUAGCCAAGAUGGAGACAGCAAUGGAGGUAUACAAUGACGUUGAGAUGAGCACACCACCGAUCAAGCGACGCAAGAAGAAGUCAAAGGUGUGGGAACACUUCACCAUCGGUGUUACAGAGCCUGGUUGCAGAAGGGCUUUCUGCAAGGGCUGUAACCAGAGCUUUGCUUACAGCAGUGGCACCAAAGUGGCUGGGACCAGCCACCUCAAGCGUCACAUCGACAAAGGGACAUGCCCUGCGCUUCUUCAUCAUACCCAUGACAACAAUGACAACGAUAACAGCCAGCAGAUGAUGACGACUCCCAAGAGUGACCACACGCCGAGAAGGCGUUACCGGACCCAGAAC
rnacentral:lncRNA from 1 species